rfam:Beta vulgaris subsp. vulgaris 0533.scaffold01098.con0007.1, whole genome shotgun sequence.
GGCAGCGACCAUACUAACACUAAUGCAUAGUAUCCCAUCAGAACUUCGCAGUUAAGCGUGCUUGGGCGUGAGUAGUACAAGGACGGGUUACCUAUUAGGAAGUCCUCGUGUUGCUCCUC